rnacentral:rRNA from 1 species
UACAGAGGUCUCAAGCGUUGUUCGGAUUCAUUGGGCGUAAAGGGCGCGUAGGCGGCGCGGUAAGUCACUUGUGAAAUCUCUGAGCUUAACUCAGAACGGCCAAGUGAUACUGCAGUGCUAGAGUGUGGAAGGGGCAAUCGGAAUUCUUGGUGUAGCGGUGAAAUGCGCAGAUAUCAGGAGGAACACCGAUGGCGAAGGCAGGUCCCUGGGCCACUACCGACGCUGAGAAGCGAAAGCAUGGGGAGCGAACAGG